rnacentral:rRNA from 1 species
UACGUAGGGUGCAAGCGUUAAUCGGAAUUACUGGGCGUAAAGCGUGCGCAGGUGGUCCGUCGCGUCGUGCGUGAAAGCCCCCGGCUCAACUGGGGAGUGUCGUGCGAUACGGGCGGACUGGAGGCCAGUAGGGGGAUGCGGAAUUCCGGGUGUAGUGGUGGAAUGCGUAGAGAUCCGGAGGAACACCAGCGGCGAAGGCGGCAUCCUGGACUGGUCCUGACACUCAUGAGCGAAAGCGUGGGGAGCGAUCCGG